UACGAGGGGGGCAAAUGUUGUUCGGAAUCACUGGGCGUAAAGGGAGCGUAGGCGGGUUUCUAAGUCAGGUGUUUAAUCCCGGGGCCCAACCCCGGACAGGCACUUGAAACUGGGAAUCUUGAAUAGUGGAGAGGUCAGUGGAAUUGGGGGUGUAGCGGUGGAAUGCGCAGAUAUCAGGAGGAACACCGAUGGCGAAGGGCAGCUCGCUGGGACGGUACUGACGCUGAGGCGCGAAAGCGUGGGGAGCAAACAGG
rnacentral:rRNA from 1 species